CUCUCCUCUAAGGUUUAACAACCUGCUUUGUAUCUUACUUUAUUAAUCCAAGAGCAUUUGGGCACAAAAUGCACAGUAGCUUAAAUACGCCUGGAUACAAUUACAACUAUCCUUGGAGCCUGCUGAAAACUGAUGUAUUUUUUGUGUAAUCAAAUAUGGUGGCUUCCCUUGGAUAGUGAUGGAUGUUGAUGAGGAUGUGGAACUAGUCUUCCCUGGCUGGUAGGAGAAGGACAAGAGGCAGCUAAUUUCCCAUGGAUUGUGACUAUGUUGAGAUCACCAUCAGCUUCCAUUUAAAAAAAGAAAGUUUCAAGCCCUCAUGUUUGCAGAGAAAAACUUGAAAACAGGAAGCGUGUUCCCAAAGACUCAAAACCAGAAGGCAAACUAAGAAUUCACAAUGUAUUAUUUAAAAAUUUUGUUAUGCUGAUCUCAUGAUUUUGAGAACUGACUCAUGAUUAUUCAAUGCUUGAGGCUGUCAAUACUGAUAAGCAAAAGGGAGGUUAUCCGUCUCUAAGCAUGUGUAUUUUUUUUGUAUAUUUGUGAUUGAAUUUCGUAUAAAUGCCCAUGAAAAGCUCAAAUAAAAAAACAGCAGGCAGGCCAACCAGGGCCGGCAGUAGGCACCAGCAAAACAAGCUGGUGCUUGGGGUGGCACAUUUUUAGGGACGGCCUGGCUGGCGCCAGAAUGCCACCCCUAAAAAUGUGCCCCGGCCGCCCUAGCUCACCUCCGCGGCUGCUGCCAUGGCGUGUGAAACAGCU